CCUGCUCAACUGUCUCCUCGGCUUGGAACCCCAAGUUAUGGACCACCUUACGUAGCAGCUCUUGGUGGGCUUUCUGGACUAUUGACCGAGAUCCUGUUACCGCUGUGCCUGCUACUGUUUCAUCAGGGGAUAACAAGGAAGUUAACAGUUGCUCAGCUUCCUCCGGCUGGUCCCCCUGGUCCCCCUCCCUCAAGCUUGUGUCUGGAGCCUCAAGACGCAGAUCAGGUCUGGAACCAAUCAGGUGACUCAACAGGAUGAAGAAUGGACCUCAGGCAAGAGGCAGGAGGGGGUAGCAGCAUUGCAAGGACUCAACCUGAGGUACCCUAUGGGGGUGCUACAUCGAUGGAACUGCUACUUACAAUCUGCACUAAAGGAACUACUGCAUUAGACUGUACAGCUCAG